GACGAACGCUGGCGGCGUGCUUAACACAUGCAAGUCGAACGGAAAGGCCCUGCUUGCAGGGUGCUCGAGUGGCGAACGGGUGAGUAACACGUGGGUGAUCUGCCCCUUACUUUGGGAUAAGCCUGGGAAACUGGGUCUAAUACUGGAUAGGACCAUGCUGUAGGUGGUGUGGUGGAAAGAUUAGUUUCGGUAAGGGAUGAGCUCGCGGCCUAUCAGCUUGUUGGUGGGGUAAUGGCCUACCAAGGCGUCGACGGGUAGCCGGCCUGAGAGGGUGGACGGCCACAUUGGGACUGAGAUACGGCGCAGACUCCUACGGGAGGCAGCAGUGGGGAAUAUUGCACAAUGGGCGCAAGCCUGAUGCAGCGACGCCGCGUGGGGGAUGACGGCCUUCGGGUUGUAAACACCUUUCAGCCAUGACGAAGCCCUUGUGGUGACGGUAGUGGUAGAAGAAGCACCGGCUAACUACGUG
rnacentral:rRNA from 1 species